rnacentral:rRNA from 1 species
GAGCGGUAGAGAGAAGCUUGCUUCUCUUGAGAGCGGCGGACGGGUGAGUAAUGCCUAGGAAUCUGCCUGGUAGUGGGGGAUAACGUUCGGAAACGGACGCUAAUACCGCAUACGUCCUACGGGAGAAAGCAGGGGACCUUCGGGCCUUGCGCUAUCAGAUGAGCCUAGGUCGGAUUAGCUAGUUGGUGAGGUAAUGGCUCACCAAGGCGACGAUCCGUAACUGGUCUGAGAGGAUGAUCAGUCACACUGGAACUGAGACACGGUCCAGACUCCUACGGGAGGCAGCAGUGGGGAAUAUUGGACAAUGGGCGAAAGCCUGAUCCAGCCAUGCCGCGUGUGUGAAGAAGGUCUUCGGAUUGUAAAGCACUUUAAGUUGGGAGGAAGGGUUGUAGAUUAAUACUCUGCAAUUUUGACGUUACCGACAGAAUAAGCACCGGCUAACUCUGUGCCAGCAGCCGCGGUAAUACAGAGGGUGCAAGCGUUAAUCGGAAUUACUGGGCGUAAAGCGCGCGUAGGUGGUUUGUUAAGUUGGAUGUGAAAUCCCCGGGCUCAACCUGGGAACUGCAUUCAAAACUGACUGACUAGAGUAUGGUAGAGGGUGGUGGAAUUUCCUGUGUAGCGGUGAAAUGCGUAGAUAUAGGAAGGAACACCAGUGGCGAAGGCGACCACCUGGACUAAUACUGACACUGAGGUGCGAAAGCGUGGGGAGCAAACAGGAUUAGAUACCCUGGUAGUCCACGCCGUAAACGAUGUCAACUAGCCGUUGGGAGCCUUGAGCUCUUAGUGGCGCAGCUAACGCAUUAAGUUGACCGCCUGGGGAGUACGGCCGCAAGGUUAAAACUCAAAUGAAUUGACGGGGGCCCGCACAAGCGGUGGAGCAUGUGGUUUAAUUCGAAGCAACGCGAAGAACCUUACCAGGCCUUGACAUCCAAUGAACUUUCUAGAGAUAGAUUGGUGCCUUCGGGAACAUUGAGACAGGUGCUGCAUGGCUGUCGUCGGCUCGUGUCGUGAGAUGUU